UACGAAGGGGGCUAGCGUUGCUCGGAAUUACUGGGCGUAAAGCGCGCGCAGGUGGCUAUCCAAGUCAGUGGUGAAAGCCCGGAGCUCAACUCCGGAACUGCCAUUGAAACUGUUUAGCUUGAGGACGAGAGAGGUGAGUGGAAUUCCCAGUGUAGAGGUGAAAUUCGUAGAUAUUGGGAAGAACACCGGUGGCGAAGGCGGCUCACUGGCUCGUUUCUGACGCUCAGGCGCGACAGCGUGGGGAUCAAACAGG
rnacentral:rRNA from 1 species